rnacentral:rRNA from 1 species
UGCCAGCAGCCGCGGUAAUACGGGAGUGGCAAGCGUUAUCCGGAAUUAUUGGGCGUAAAGCGCACGUAGGCGGAUAGAAAGUUAGAGGUGAAAUCCCAGGGCUCAACCCUGGAACUGCCUUUAAAACUCCUAGUCUUGAGUUCGAGAGAGGUGAGUGGAAUUCCAAGUGUAGAGGUGAAAUUCGUAGAUAUUUGGAGGAACACCAGUGGCGAAGGCGGCUCACUGGCUCGAUACUGACGCUGAGGUACGAAAGUGUGGGGAGCAAACAGGAUUAGAUA